GGUGUCCAAUUAGACAGUCAUUAAAGAUCCCAGCGCUACAAAACACUUAUACUUUUACAGUACAGUAUGGAUAGCAUUGAUUUAUAAUUAUCAUCACAAUAUUAGUAAAAACCAAGAGCUACUCGGAUGGAUACACUGUGUACCAAGAAAUCUUUUUACCUCUGAUUCACACGGCCGCUCAAUCAACGAAAUGAACAUAUACAGGGCUAGGGGGUAAGUAAUGAAGGCCAGAAACUAUAAUUUAUCAAACCUAUAUAUGAGAUCUAGAGAGCCAGUCCGUCAUAAUGCUAUUAUGAUCCUCGUGAGCUAGGUCAUUACUUAUCAAAUUUCUUACAAAAUGUGUCCCAUCCACAGCCUUACAAACACUGCAAUAAACCAUAUGUGACUGCACAAUUAUUCCACAAUAUUGAUCCAAUUUUGACUGCAUUUUCUUUUCGAACUGCACAUGUUUGUGUUUAAAUAAUUCAGUUGUCAGCAUUUUCAGUUAUUAUCAAAACGGUUCUUCAGAAUAACGCAUUUUGAUUUGGUCAUUUUCCACAUUUUCAUGUUUCAAUAAAUCAAGGUGCCUUUGUUUCAUAACUUGCAUGUGUUUACAAAACCUUUCAAUAUCCUCAAAGAUCUCUCAAAUUCAUUGGGUUUAUCAAACCCUGCUCAGAAGUCAAAGCCAUUACAAAAAUGGAAGAAUUUCAUUUGAAAUGAUAAUCAUAAAGGCAUUAUAACUUCCCUGGAGACCAAUUUCAUUGCUGCAUUCAUGGAAUGUACCUGCUGACUGCUCACUCUAACUCUUUUCAAAAAUUCCUCUUUUCCUUUCGACUGAAAAUAAUCUCAAACAAGAGGUGUUAA